rnacentral:tRNA from 1 species
GCCCUCGUAGUUAAAUGGAUAUAACCGCGGACUUCUAAGCCGCUAUUCUUGGUUCGAUUCCAAGCGAGGGCACAA